rnacentral:rRNA from 1 species
GACGAACGCUGGCGGCGUGCUUAACACAUGCAAGUCGAACGAUGAAGCCCUUCGGGGUGGAUUAGUGGCGAACGGGUGAGUAACACGUGGGCAAUCUGCCCUGCACUCUGGGACAAGCCCUGGAAACGGGGUCUAAUACCGGAUAUGACUGACCACCGCAUGGUGGAUGGUGUAAAGCUCCGGCGGUGCAGGAUGAGCACGCGGCCUAUCAGCUAGUUGGUGGGGUAGUGGCUCACCAAGGCGACGACGGGUAGCCGGCCUGAGAGGGCGACCGGCCAACAGGGGACUGAGACACGGCGCAGACUCGUACGGGGGGCAGCAGUGGGGAAUCUUGCACAAUGGUCGAAAGCCUGAUGCAGCGGCGCCGCGUGAGGGAUGACGGCCUUCGGGUUGUAAACCUCUUUCAGCAGGGAAGAAGCGAAAGUGACGGUACCUGCAGAAGAAGCGCCGGCUAACUACGUGCCAGCCGCCGCCGUAAGAC